GGCAAGAUGGCCGAGUGGUUAUGGCGUGUGACUCAAGCUUCCAGCUUGCUCGACCGCAGUCGAGUAGCAUUCUCAUGGGCUUUGCCCGCGGGGGUUCGAAGUGAGUUCCUCCCGUAAUCCUGUGACG
rnacentral:tRNA from 1 species